AAGACUAUACUUUCAGGGAUCAUUUCCAUAGUUCAUCACUAGAGUAGUUUCUCUGAUCAUAAGAGCACCGCAAACCAGGAGAAGGAGCCAGAGCAUCCUCUUCUAGGCAUGAAACUGCUCUCUAGGUGUUGCUUUUGAAACUGCCUUUUACCAUGAUGAUUGUUCUUCUCUUCCCUCAGGGGAGAGAGAGAAAGAGAGAGAGAGUGAG